GAUGAACGCUAGCUACAGGCUUAACACAUGCAAGUCGAGGGGAAACGACAUCGAAAGCUUGCUUUGGUGGGCGUCGACCGGCGCACGGGGUGAGUAACGCGUAUCCAACCUGCCCACCACUUGGGGAUAACCUUGCGAAAGUAAGACUAAUACCCAAUGAUAUCCCACGAAGGCAUCCGAAUGGGAUUAAAGAUUUAUCGGUGAUGGAUGGGGAUGCGUCUGAUUAGCUUGUUGGCGGGGUAACGGCCCACCAAGGCAACGAUCAGUAGGGGUUCUGAGAGGAAGGUCCCCCCACAUUGGAACUGAGACACGGUCCAAACUCCUACGGGAGGCAAGCAGUGAGGAAUA
rnacentral:rRNA from 1 species